UUGACCUCGGAUCAGGUAGGAAUACCCGCUGAAC
rnacentral:rRNA from 20 species